rnacentral:rRNA from 1 species
GUUGUUUGAACCGCAUGGUUCAAACAUAAAAGGUGGCUUCGGCUACCACUUACAGAUGGACCCGCGGCGCAUUAGCUAGUUGGUGAGGUAANGGCUCACCAAGGCGACGAUGCGUAGCCGACCUGAGAGGGUGAUCGGCCACACUGGGACUGAGACACGGCCCAGACUCCUACGGGAGGCAGCAGUAGGGAAUCUUCCGCAAUGGACGAAAGUCUGACGGAGCAACGCCGCGUGAGUGAUGAAGGUUUUCGGAUCGUAAAGCUCUGUUGUUAGGGAAGAACAAGUACCGUUCGAAUAGGGCGGUACCUUGACGGUACCUAACCAGAAAGCCACGGCUAACUACGUGCCAGCAGCCGCGGUAAUACGUAGGUGGCAAGCGUUGUCCGGAAUUAUUGGGCGUAAAGGGCUCGCAGGCGGUUUCUUAAGUCUGAUGUGAAAGCCCCCGGCUCAACCGGGGAGGGUCAUUGGAAACUGGGGAACUUGAGUGCAGAAGAGGAGAGUGGAAUUCCACGUGUAGCGGUGAAAU